rnacentral:rRNA from 1 species
CUCCUACGGGAGGCAGCAGUGAGGAAUAUUGGACAAUGGGCGCAAGCCUGAUCCAGCCAUGCCGCGUGCAGGAUGACGGUCCUUCGGGUUGUAAACUGCUUUUGUACGGAACGAAAAGGUCUGCCCUAAUACGGCGGGCCCAUGACGGUACCGUAAGAAUAAGCACCGGCUAACUACGUGCCAGCAGCCGCGGUAAUACGUAGGGUGCGAGCGUUAAUCGGAAUUACUGGGCGUAAAGCGUGCGCAGGCGGUUAUAUAAGACAGAUGUGAAAUCCCCGGGCUCAACCUGGGACCUGCAUUUGUGACUGUAUAGCUAGAGUACGGUAGAGGGGGAUGGAAUUCCGCGUGUAGCAGUGAAAUGCGUAGAUAUGCGGAGGAACACCGAUGGCGAAGGCAAUCCCCUGGACCUGUACUGACGCUCAUGCACGAAAGCGUGGGGAGCAAACAGGAUUAGAUACCCUGGUAGUCCACGCCCUAAACGAUGUCAACUGGUUGUUGGGUCUUCACUGACUCA